AACGAACGCUGGCGGAAUGCUUUACACAUGCAAGUCGAACGGCAGCACGGGAGCUUGCUCCUGGUGGCGAGUGGCGAACGGGUGAGUAAUGCAUCGGAACGUACCUAUUAGUGGGGGAUAACUAUCCGAAAGGAUGGCUAAUACCGCAUACGUCCUGAGGGAGAAAGUGGGGGAUCGUAAGACCUCGCGCUAAUAGAGCGGCCGAUGUUGGAUUAGCUAGUUGGUGGGGUAAAGGCCUACCAAGGCGACGAUCCAUAGCUGGUCUGAGAGGAUGAUCAGCCACACUGGGACUGAGACACGGCCCAGACUCCUACGGGAGGCAGCAGUGGGGAAUUUUGGACAAUGGGGGCAACCCUGAUCCAGCCAUUCCGCGUGAGUGAAGAAGGCCUUCGGGUUGUAAAGCUCUUUUGUCAGGGAAGAAAAGGCUGUGGCUAAUAUCCACAGCUGCUGACGGUACCUGAAGAAUAAGCACCGGCUAACUACGUGCCAGCCGCCGCAGUAA
rnacentral:rRNA from 1 species